rnacentral:rRNA from 1 species
UACGUAGGGACCAAGCGUUGUUCGGAUUUACGUGGCGUAAAGGGCGCGUAGGCGGCGUGGUAAGUCACUUGUGAAAUCUCCGAGCUUAACUCGGAACGGUCAAGUGAUACUGCUGUGCUAGAGUGCAGAAGGGGCAAUCGGAAUUCUUGGUGUAGCGGUGAAAUGCGUAGAUAUCAAGAGGAACACCUGAGGUGAAGACGGGUUGCUGGGCUGACACUGACGCUGGAGGCGCGAAAGCUAGGGUAGCAAACGGG